GGGAGGUGGUGGAGUCACAGUCCCUGGAGGUAUUUAAGAAAAGAUUUGAUGAGGCACUUAGUGCCAUGGUGUAGGGCUGGGUGUACUGCCAUGAUGUAGGACAGGGCUGGGUGCUAGGUUGGACUGGAUGAUCUUGGAGUUCUCUUCCAAGCUGGUUGAUUCUAUGAUUCUAUGACAUAGCAGCAAAUCACAGUUUGUUCUUGAGGAAUUUGAGAUGCCUUUAUCAGUCCUGCUGUUGAAUUGUGAUGCUACCUCCAGGACUGCUUUUGAAUUUGCACAGUAGCUCACAUAGGCCUUGACCUCAGUGAUGCCAUUAUGAAAUAAAGAGUCUUCAGACUCUGCAGGGGAUUCACUGGGGAAAGGAUAUCAAGAGGAAAAGGCAACUUUUUACAGAAAUAAGGAAAUUCGUUUCCUCAGCAACACAGAAUCAUAGAAUGCUUUGGGUUGGAAGGGAUCUUAAAGGUCAUCUAGUUCCAAUCCCCUGCCAUAGACAAGGACACUUCCUGCCUGAACAGGCUACUCAAGGCCAGACCGAGCCUGGUGUUGAGUAUUUCCAGGCUUGGAGCCUCAAUAACUCCUCUGAGCAACCUGUUCCAGUGCCUCACCAACCUCACAAUGAAGAUUUUCUCCCUAAUGCCUAAUCUCAAUCUAGCAUUUUUCAGUUUGAAGCCAUUACCCCUUAUCCUCCCACUACAUGCCUUUGUAGUAAGUCUGUCUCCAGCUAUCCUGUAGGCCCUCUUCAAAUACUGAAAGGCUGCUGUAAGGUGUCCUCAGAGCCCUCUCUUCUCCAGGCCAAAGAACCCUAACUCUUCUCAGUCUGUCUUCAUAGAGAGAUGCUCUAGCCCUUUGAUCAUCUUCAUGGCUCUCCUCUGGACCUGCUCAUGUUCUUCUUGUUUUGGGAAUCUCUUGUGUUUGGAACAUCCUACCUCUGCAGUUUGGCAUCCCUCUCCUUCACGAGGCAAGGUGCUGGUGGCUUUAGUAGCAGGUAUGCACACCAGCGGCAAUUCCCGCAGCUGUGCUUUGGCGUAGGGGUGGUAGCUGAGAAGAAACAGGAAGGCAGUAGAUAAAAACAGUCAUCCUAAAUACCUCACACAUUUCAGUGAAAUGAAACCCUCCUCAUCUUUCAGCAGACUCCUCUAAAGGGUGAAUUUAAGUCUGGCCACAAGAUUUCAGAUUUGAGAGAACUGUACUUUAAGGAUGUUGUUUGAUAUGGAACAAAAGGCUUUCAUUAUCUUUCAUGAAACAGAGAAUGUUUUAACGUUCAAGGAAAACUGUUUUUCCCCUUGAUCUAUGAUGCACUCAGGAUUAAAGGAACAAAACAGCAAAACCCCCAAACCAACAAACAACCCAACCAACCAACCCAAACCAGCAACAACAACAACAAACCAAAACCGAAACGCCAAACCAUCUCUUGGUUAAAAAUAUUCUUUAACUAGAAACUGGGACAUGACAUUUUGUUGUCUUCAAAACUGAGCAUUAGCUGUAAGGUAACAAAGCUCUGGCUUGUGAGACUUUAUGUUAGGUAUGGAAUUUUUGCAAUGCCAAAUCAAAAAGACUUUUUUUCAGGCAACUCUCACUCUCAGAAGUGGAUGGAAAAACUGAAGACUCUUUCUUUGUGUUCUCAUUGCUUUACAAGAUACGAGCUUCCUAUGUGACUGCUAUCUGACCCUGAAGAUGCUCAGAAACAACAUGGAUAUACUAGACAGAGGGCUUAGGGAGUAACAGGGACAAACUCAGGGGCUCUCUCACUGCAAAACUGGGAGCUCAGGGGUUCCCAGAGCAUUGCUACAGGUUCUCCCCAUUUUUCUGACCCUCACAGAAGAGAACUGCUUAGAACCGCCAUUCCUGUGCACAUCUGAAGCACCUCUGCAUCUCCAAAUCCACAGAGAAGGAGAGGGCCCUGCUCCAUGAUCAACCUGCUCAUUAAGUAUCAUGUGCAAGGACAUUACAGGCAUCAAAAUUUUACAUCAAGUGCAGGACAUUCUCCUUUUCUGCAGCAAUUUUUCAUUGCAUUUAUUAAUCUUGUACCUAGAACUGCACAAAAUACUCUGCAGAUAAAUGAUGGGGGGGAGGGGGAGAAGAGGUGAUCUUUCCUUCACAUAUUUUUUAUCAGAACAUCUGCAAUAUGUUGUAUUUAAACUGCUUUGCAGUUGCUGUACACAUACAAGAUGGAAAUGGAGAGGUGUCAAGGCAAUGCUGUCUCACAGUACUGAGUGACUGGGUGAUAAAACAGCAACUAAAAUUCAGCAGCGAUAAGUGCAAAGCAACGUACAUGGGCAAAAAUAACCCUGACAACACAUAGACACUGGUUCAAGCUAUCACUUUUGCCGCAGGAGAUCUGGACAAUGAAGUGGAAAGCUCUCUGAAAAUAUUUGUGUGGGGCCUAGGAAGUGGUUAAAAUGAGGACCUGAAUGUUAGGAAUUAGUAGCUCUCCCCUUACGUGAUGAACUGUAAAGUCGUAGGACUCCUAUUGCUUAGAGUCCUGAAGAUGCUUGGAAAUAUGACUCUUGCCUAUUCCCUGGAGCCAGCAAAAUUUAACAGUCCUUUUAGCAGAAUCAAAGUUCUAAAGAAAGUAGUGUUUUGUAGCAAGACUGGAAAGGACAGGAAGAAUGGUAAUAAAGCUUGACACUGGAAAUAGAGCUUGAAAAAAGGGGUAGCUGAAGGGAAAUCCAAUUAAAAUCUAGUAAAUGGUGAGAAAGUCAAAACAGAAACUUAAUUCACUAUAACAAAGGAUCACUUAAUGAAACAAUCAGGAAGAAGACUUGACUUGUUUUUGCACAGGGAAGAAUUAUCAUGGCACAGGAUGUUGUGGAAAGAAAACCCAUAAAUGUGGGCUCAAAAAGGGUUAAGACAAACUCCUAUUGAACAGGACCACUGGUAGCUACUAAGCAUGCUAGCUUGGAUACAACCCUCAGUUCCAGAAGUCUCCAGCUCAUUAGUUGCUGGAAAAUUACAAGGUAAAUAGGAGGAGAAUACAUGGUCUAUUUUUACACUGUUUAACUAAGCAUUCAGUCUCAUCUGCUGGAGAGAAGGUACAGAGCUAGAUGGAUCCAACUGUGAUUUUACAUUCUAAGAAAGUAACAGAAACAACCAAGGGUAUGCUAACACUGACAGUAAACAUUAAUUUCACUUGCUUUAGCCACUCUAAUGUCCAGAUUCAGGCAUGUGCAAGAAAUCAUAGUCCAUGUAUGACCAGAGAAUACAGGAUUAUCCCAACAGCAGCAUUCACUUCUUUGCAACCUACAGAUUUCGAGACAUUACUUACUCAUUUCUUCUGAAAAGAGAAAACUUUGUCACCAAAGCUCCUGCAAAGGCUGCAGGAGUGAGCCAGUGUUUGCCUUUUCCUGAUCAAAAACCAGCAUAACAUCAGGUGACAGAGUAAGUUGGUCACAAUGGUUUAUUUGUGCUGAAAUUCACCGUAGUUGCUUCAGUACAUGUGAGAGGCCACUUUUGCUUACAGAUUAAAUCCGUAGAUGAGAAGCAGGUGCAGACUGAAGAUAAUGAGCAGCUCAGGUCCAGGACGAGACGGGAUAAGCCUGCUCUGAGAUAUCAGUAACAAACCUCCCACUCAGUUCUGUGGGAGCAGGACUAAAGCACAGCUUGCAAAUCUUGCAAGUAGCAGCUGUUUCAUCACCUCCUUUGGUAUCCUUUCCAGGAUUUCAGCUUCCUCCAGAUUUUGGCACUCUACAACUACUUGGGUUGUGGGAAGAUGCCCGCAGCAUCGAGUAAGCACACAGUGCCUACUUGGACUGCAUGACCUGAAUAUCACUGGGGCCUCUGUAGGUAAACAGUGCAACUCCAAGGAUAUUCUCUCAAUCAUUCUUACUCUCUUAUUUUUGCAGGACCACUUUCCCAUGUAGAAAUAAUACAUUAUUUUGUGACCUAUCUAAAUAAAAGUAUUUAAUGCUUGCAAUAAGACACUGACAUUGUGGUUUUUCUCAUUUUUAUCUAAUUUGAAGGAUAUUCUUACUGCAAACAGUGAAGUUUGGCCUCUUUUCUCCCCUUCAUCUUAGCAAUAAUCUCUGGAUACACAUAAAUGCCAAAGUACUGACUUAGGUGUUAUUGAUUUUCCCUGAACAUGAAUUCUCUUGUUUUCAUCGCUGUAGAGACUCUCAUUCAACUACAAGGAAAGCAUUUGCUGAGGCAACUUCAUCACAAUGAAAAUGUGAAAAGGAAUAAAACUGGAGACUGGCCACAAUGAACAAGACACAGUUAAGAGAGUUAGGAGACCACAGAAAAUCAGCAUUAGGCUGUGAUGUUUAGCAGUCUUGGAUGUACAUCUGGAGUAGAGAAAAUAGCCCUUCCUUCAAUAAAGCAAGCCUUAGGGGCACCUGAA